rnacentral:rRNA from 1 species
UACGGGGGGGGCAAGCGUUGUUCGGAAUUACUGGGCGUAAAGGGCUCGUAGGUGGCCAACUAAGUCGGGACGUGAAAUCCCUCGGCUUAACCGGGGAACUGCGUCCGAUACUGGUUGGCUUGAGUUUGGGAGAGGGAUGCGGAAUUCCAGGUGUAGCGGUGAAAUGCGCAGAUAUCAGGAGGAACACCGAUGGCGAAGGCAGCUCGCUGGGACGGUACUGACGCUGAGACGCGAAAGCGUGGGGAGCAAACAGG